CCUACGUGAGGCAGCAGUGAGGGAUAUUGGUCAAUGGGGGAAACCCUGAACCAGCAACGCCGCGUGAGGGAAGACGGUCCUCGGAUUGUAAAACUCUGUUCUCUGUGAAGCAGAUAACGGUCGUAAAGGAGGAAGCUCCAGCUACCUACGUGCAAGCAGCCGCGGUAAUACGUAGGGAGCAAGCGGUGUCCGGAUUUAUUGGGUGUAAAGGGGGCGUUGGGGGCUUUGUAAGUCAGAAGUGAAAUCCAUGAGCUUAACCCAUGAAAUGAUUUUGAAACUGUAGGGCUUGAGUGGAGUAGAGGUAGGCGGAAUGCGCGGUGUAGCGGUGAAAUGCGUAGAGAUCAGGAGGAACACCAGUGGCGAAGGCAGCCUGCUGGGGUCUAACUGACGCUGAGGCACGAAAGCGUGGGUAUCGAACAGGAUUAGAUACCCUAGUAGUC
rnacentral:rRNA from 1 species